GGUUGCGAUCAUAACAGCACUAAUGCACCGGAUCCCAUCAGAACUCCGCAGCUAAGCGUGCUUGGGCGAGAGUAGUACUAGGAUGGGUGACCCCCUGGGAAGUCCUCGUGUUGCAACCCC
rnacentral:rRNA from 1 species